GGAAUUGGAGUUCCCUUAAUGGAAGGAGAUGCUUGCAAUGAAUAAUUUCUGACUUGGUAUCUUGAAUAUGUUAUGAAUUCCUAAUGAUUGGUGAAAUAUCAAUCCUAUGAUCUUGAAUCUCAUGAUUCUCACACACAUAUAUGAAACAAAGGGUGCAUUGUCAUACCUGGAUCCAUGUUCCUAGAUGUACUCUUAUGAUCUGUGUUUUCUGAUAUGGAUUUUGGUAUGAUGGUCUUCCUCAACCAAAUCCUUGAUUCCUCUUGGGACUUGCGUUUUCCCUCUGACAGGGAGAAGAGAAAACUGAAUUUGAUUUGGUGUGUUGGA
rnacentral:lncRNA from 1 species